UGGGGAAUAUUGGACAAUGGGCGAAAGCCUGAUCCAGCUAUGCCGCGUGGGUGAAGAAGGCCUUCGGGUUGUAAAGCCCUGUCGGGAGGGAAGAAAAAAAUGACGGUACCUCGCAAGAAAGCACCGGCUAACUCCGUGCCGGCAGCCGCGGUAAUACGGAGGGUGCAAGCGUUGCUCGGAAUCACUGGGCGUAAAAGCGACCGCAGGCGGUCGGACAAGUCGGAUGUGAAAGCCCCUGGCUCAACCCAGGAAUUGCAUUCGAAACUGGCUGACUUGAGUACGAGAGAGGGGGGUGGAAUUCCUGGUGUAGGGGUGAAAUUCGUUGAUAUCCGGAGGAACACCAGUGGCGAAGGCGACUUCCUGGCCUGUCUUGACGCUGAGGCGCGAAAGCUGGGGGAGCAAAAGGGAUUAGAUACCCCGGUAGUCCCAGCCGUAAACGAUGGACACUAGGUGUUGGUGGUAUCAACCCCGCAGUGCCGUAGCUAACGCAUUAAGU
rnacentral:rRNA from 1 species